rnacentral:rRNA from 1 species
UACGAAGGGGGCUAGCGUUGCUCGGAAUCACUGGGCGUAAAGGGUGCGUGAGUCGGGUCUUUAAGGGUCAAGGGUGAAUCCGUGGAGCUCAACUCCAGAACUGCCUUUGAUACUGAAGAUCUUGAGUUCGGGAGAGGUGAGUGGAACUGCGAGUGUAGAGGUGAAAUUCGUAGAUAUUCGCAAGAACACCAGUGGCGAAGGCGGCUCACUGGCCCGAUACUGACGCUGAGGCACGAAAGCGUGGGGAGCAAACAGGG